rnacentral:tRNA from 1 species
GGCCAGGUAGUUCAAUGGUUAGAACAUCACACAUAUAGAUUGUCGGAUUGGCGUUUGUCAUUCUUACUGUACUAUACUUGUACUCGUAGCUUGCUGUUGGUGUAAAGGUAAUGUGAAGAUGGAGGUUCGAUUCCUUCUCUGGCCA